UACGACUUCACCCCAAUCAUGAACCAUACCUUGGGCGGCUGCCUCCUUGCGGUUAGCACGCCGACUUCUAGUGCAGUCCACUUUCGUGAUGUGACGGGCGGUGUGUACAAGGCCCGGGAACGUAUUCACCGCGGCGUUCUGAUCCGCGAUUACUAGCGAUUCCAGCUUCAUGGAGUCGAAUUGCAGACUCCAAUCCGAACUGAGGCCGGCUUUUUCCGAUUAGCUCCCCCUCACGGGUUUGCGACGUUUUGUACCGACCAUUGUAGCACGUGUGUAGCCCUGGACAUAAAGGCCAUGAGGACUUGACGUCAUCCCCACCUUCCUCGUAGUUAUCCUACGCGGUUUCGUUAGAGUGCCCAGCUUGACCUGAUGGCAACUAAAGAUAAGGGUUGCGCUCGUUGCGGGACUUAACCCAACAUCUCACGACACGAGCUGACGACAGCCAUGCAGCACCUAUAUAGCAGUCUCU
rnacentral:rRNA from 1 species